AUGAGGAAGAUGGCCUUUAGGGGCACUUCUUGCAUUCCAAUUUUGAUCCUCCCAUUCCUGAGUUCACUCUGCCAAUCCGAUGACCAGCUCACACAUGCAAAGCCGCUCUCCGCCGGCGACAUGCUCGUCUCCAAGGGCGGGGACUUUGCGCUCGGCUUCUUCUCCCCGAACAGCUCCAACACAAGCUUGUACCUUGGCAUAUGGUACAACAGCAUCCCUGGCCGCACCGUUGUAUGGACCGCCAACCGCGACGAUCCAAUCGCCGCAACUUCAUCUCUGAUGCUCGCCAUCACCAACAAUUCCGACCUGGUGUUGUCUGACUCCCAAGGUCACACUCCUUGGGUGGUGAAGAGCGGCAUCACGGGUGUGGGAGUUACUGCGGUGCUGCGUUCGUCGGGGAACUUUGUCCUCAUGUCUCCAAAUGGGACAUCCAUAUGGCAGAGUUUUGAUUACCCGACAGACACCAUUCUCCCCGGUGCUAGGAUCUACCUGAGCGGGAAGGCUCGUGUUGUCAGGCGUCUAAUUGCUUGGAAGGGCCCCAUUAACCCAUCCAUUGGAGAUUUUUCUUUGGGCCUUGACCCAAACUCGAACCUUCAGUUAAUCAUCUGGCAUGGGACUAUGCCCUACCUCCGCCGCAAUAUUCUCGAUGGUGCGUCAGUAGGUGGUGGCACGUACCAGAAUACUAUCUUCUACGGAGUAUGA
rnacentral:rRNA from 1 species